CAGAAUAUGGACCCGGGUUCGUGCGUGUUGGUGGGUUUGUACUGUGGAGAUGGUGGUGAUAAGAACUCAGGUAUUUUGUUUUUCAUGGUAACUUUUAUGCUGAUGGGGCUGAAGCAUACCAAAUGGAAUUUUGGAUCAGACAUAUUG